AGCGAACGCUGGCGGCAGGCCUAACACAUGCAAGUCGAACGGAUCCUUCGGGAUUAGUGGCGGACGGGUGAGUAACACGUGGGAACGUGCCUUUUGGUUCGGAACAACUCAGGGAAACUUGAGCUAAUACCGAAUGUGCCCUUCGGGGGAAAGGAUUAUCGCCAUUAGAGCGGCCCGCGUCUGAUUAGCUAGUUGGUGGGGUAAAGGGCUCACCAAGGCUACGAUCAGUAGCUGGUCUGAGAGGAUGAUCAGCCACAUUGGGACUGAGACACGGCCCAAACUCCUACGGGAGGCAGCAGUGGGGAAUCUUGCGCAAUGGGCGAAAGCCUGACGCAGCCAUGCCGCGUGAAUGAUGAAGGUCUUAGGAUUGUAAAAUUCUUUUCACCGGGGACGAUAAUGACGGUACCCGGAGAAGAAGCCCCGGCUAACUUCGUGCCAGCAGCCGCGGUAAGGUGCGCGAGU
rnacentral:rRNA from 1 species